rnacentral:tRNA from 1 species
GCCAAUCUAGCUCAGUUGGUAGAGCAGCUCAUUCGUAAUGAGCAGGUCACCGGUUCGAGUCCGGUGAUUGGCU